rnacentral:tRNA from 1 species
GUAGACAUAGUUUAAACAAAACAUCAGAUUGUGAUUCUGAAAAUAGAGGUUAAACCCCUCUUUUCCACC